rnacentral:misc_RNA from 1 species
GAUGAAGAACGUAGCGAAAUGCGAUACGUAAUGUGAAUUGCAGAAUUCAGUGAAUCAUCGAGUCUUUGAACGCACAUUGCGCCCCCUGGUAUUCCGGGGGGCAUGCCUGUCCGAGCGUCAUUGCUGCCCUCAAGCACGGCUUGUGUGUUGGGCCUCCGUCCUCCUCCCGGGGGACGGGCCCGAAAGGCAGCGGCGGCACCGCGUCCGGUCCUCGAGCGUAUGGGGCUUCGUCACCCGCUCUUGUAGGCCCGGCCGGCGCUUGCCGACACAUCAAUCUUUUUUCCAGGUUGACCUCGGAUCAGGUAGGGAUAACCGCUGAACUUAAGCAUAUCAGUAAGCGGAGGA